AGAGUUUGAUCCUGGCUCAGAGCGAACGCUGCGGCAUGCUUAACACAUGCAAGUCGCACGGCCGGGGGGAGACUUCCGGCAGUGGCGGACGGGUGAGUAACGCGUAGGCAUCUAUCCCUGGGUGGGGGACAACCGUGGGAAACCGCGGCUAAUACCGCAUGACGACUGAGGUCCAAAGGCCUGUGAGGGCCGCCUGGGGCGGAGCCUGCGUCCGAUUAGCUAGUUGGCGGGGUAAGAGCCCACCAAGGCGUCGAUCGGUAGCUGGUCUGAGAGGAUGAUCAGCCACACUGGGACUGAGACACGGCCCAGACUCCUACGGGAGGCAGCAGUGGGGAAUAUUGGACAAUGGGCGCAAGCCUGAUCCAGCAAUGCCGCGUGGGUGAAGAAGGUCUUCGGAUUGUAAAGCCUUUCGGCGGGGACGAUGAUGACGGUACCCGCAGAAGAAGCCCCGGCUACUUCGUGCCAGCAGCCGCGGUAAUACGAAGGGGGCUAGCGUUGCUCGGAAUGACUGGGCGUAAAGGGCGCGUAGGCGGCUAUUGCAGUCAGGCGUGAAAUUCCUGGGCUCAACCUGGGGGCUGCGCUUGAGACGUGAUGGCUUGAGUGGGGAAGAGGGUCGUGGAAUUCCCAGUGUAGAGGUGAAAUUCGUAGAUAUUGGGAAGAACACCGGGCGAAGGCGGCGACCUGGUCCUUGACUGACGCUGAGGCGCGAAAGCGUGGGGAGCAAACAGGAUUAGAUACCCUCGUAGUCC
rnacentral:rRNA from 1 species